rnacentral:rRNA from 1 species
CGCAGGCGGCUUGGCAAGUCGGGUGUGAAAUCCCGGGGCUCAACCCCGGGACUGCAUUCGAUACUGUCAGGCUAGAGGUAGGUAGGGGAGAUCGGAAUUCCUGGUGUAGCGGUGAAAUGCGCAGAUAUCAGGAGGAACACCGGUGGCGAAGGCGGAUCUCUGGGCCUUACCUGACGCUCAGGCGCGAAAGCUAGGGGAGCGAACA